GCUGACACAUCCCAGCCAAUCUCCAGCAGACCCUCCCUCCCAGACCCUCCCACCUCCUGGACAGCAUCCAUGUUGAGUUUCAACAUGGAUGCUGUCCAGGAGGUGGGAGGGUCUGGGAGGGAGGGUCUGCUGGAGAUUGGCCGGGAUGUGUCAG